CUAGAAGCUCAUCUAAUGGCAUUACAAGUUUUAAAUUCACCAUAGCAGCUUCUUCCUGAAAUCAGAAAGCUUUUUUUCUGUCUGCAGCUGGAGUGCGAUGGCAUGAUCUCGGCUCACUGCAACCUCUGCCUCCCAGGUUCAAGCGUUUCUCCUGCCUCACCCUCCCAAGUAGCUGGGAUUGCAGGCAUGCACCACUGUGCCCAGGAAGCUGAGAGUGCUGAGGGCACAUCUGAAACCACUGGAGGUUGGCGACAUGGAGGUCAGAACUGAAGAAUUUGGAAGUGCUCAAAUUUUUAAAUAACCAGAUCGAGGAGCUGCCAACACAGAUCAGCAGGCUUCAAAAACUCAAACACCUGAACCUUGGCCACCCUGUGUGCACUCUAUCUAAGUGACAACGGUUUUGAAAUCCUGCCACCAGAUAUUGGGAAGCUCACAAAGUUGCAGAUAGUAACUCAGCAAUAGGGAUAAAGACCUGAUCUCACUGCUUAAGGAAAUUGGGGAGCUUACCCAGCUUAAAGAGCUCCACAUUCAGAGGAACCGCCUCACUGUUCUACGCCCAGAACUAGGCAAUGAUGGGACCUCUUCUCCUGCAUUUGUUACCCAGAUAAUUUUGCCUUUGGAGAAGAGAAGAAAAUCACAUUGGUCUGCUCGGAAUGCAACAAAACAAAGUGUUAUUGACACCAAAACCUUAUUUGCACCAAUCCAAACAGCCUAUGGGACAUAUGUCUGCAAUGCUGCACACACCUGGGGCUAGCCAGCUUAGUGCCCUACGAUAUGUGCCAAUAAUCGAUAGCAUUUUUUACUACAGUAAUUAUGAGAAGCAUAGUAUUUUCUAGCAUGCUUGUGAAGAGUGGAAACAAAUAUUAAUCCCCUUCAGAGAGUAAAGGACAUUAUGAAUUGAGAAUUUCCUCCCAAUUUAUUCUCCAGAAUGAACAGAAUUAACAGUGAGUGGAUGUACGUCCAAAAUUUCUUCUGUUAUAUCUCUUAAUCCUUUUCCUGCGGACAUCGAGAAACUAAAGAAAAAUAACUUUCUUUACUGAGGCAGGCAAGAAGGAAAUCCAGUAUUCUUUGUUUGAUCAAUUAAGUCUCUGUAAGUGUCUCAUUUAUCUUCUCUUUUGUUAUUGUCACUCUGUCAACUGGUUCCCAAUUAUUUUAUCCAGAGGUUUAAAACUUUUUUAAAUGUAAACAGUAGAGAAUAGAGGUUAAGUGCUGCACUCUUCAUCACUAGGCUUGGGUUCAAACCUCACUCUCCCACUCCCUUGUUCUGUGACCUUCAGAUACUGAUAUGGUUUGAAAGGAAAGGAAAGGAAAAAACAGAUCAAAAUGUUUCAAUAAUCAUGAACGUAUAUGUAUCUGAUAAUGUACCCUUUAUUUAUGCUCAAUGAGAUUUAACAUGUUCAUCUCAGAAAGGGAUAGAUCAAGCUGCAAAAAGUUUGCAUACAUAGAAGAUCUAAAUAGCAUGACUAACAAGUUUAAAAUAUUAAUGUAGAAUCAUAAAAAUAUAAUUUUUUCAAGCACACAUAUAAUAUUUGUAAAAAUUGACCAGGUACAAAUCACAUAGUAAUUCUCAAUAAAUUUUAGAAAAAGGAA
rnacentral:lncRNA from 1 species